GUUCAACGAGCCCAACACACUGCCCCCACUCGUCUUCACCAGAAACCCGCCGCCGCCGGUUUGGUCCCCGUCGUCCCCGUCCCCGUCCCCAUCUCCGGCCACCACUAGCUUCCGACCCGUACCAACGCCCUUCGCCCCUACCUCAACAUUGCUAGCAGGAAACUCUCCCAGACCGAGGGACGAAUCCAGAGGGUGCAUGCAUGAGGUUCGCGGGCUGGUACCUGAAGAUUGCGGCGGUUGGGGCCUCCAUUGGCGCCGCCAUGGAGCUCUUCAUGAUCCACACGGGCUUCUAUGAUAAGGUUGUUGUCUUGGAGUCAGAAAAACGAGCUUGGGAAAGCAGUCCAGAGGCCCAAGCUAUGAGGGAAGCCCUGAACCCAUGGCGCAAGCAUGAUGAGCAACAGAAGAAAUAGUCAUGAGUUAUGUGUCCUGUCAAGUAAUUGUAUCCUCCAUUUGUAGGCCCUUGAACGAGGGUUGAUUUCUAUGCUGGGAGGUGUAUCAAUAGGGUGCGGAAUGCAGGGUCUCUACUAGAAGAAUGUACAUCCUUUUUAUUUUCCUUUGAAGAUAUAGUGAUGAAUGCUUUUAAAAUGUGAUUGGAAUGGGACAUCUAAUCUCAUUUUCCUCAACAAUUCCCAGUACCCAGAUAUGUGGUAGGAAUUGAGUAGCUGAGCAGGGAAGUGAUGUUGGGUAUCAAAUACUGUAGUAUUUUGUAACGGCACCUUCGCAGUGUGAGCUUAAACUUUGUGAUUCCAUUUAUGUGUUGUGACAUGCCCACAUAUUUCUCCUGAAUGUAUUGAAGGAAGGUGUGGAGUAGGUGGAUGGUGCAUCUGUGACUUGUGAGAAUGGAAUGGCAUGCCCCAUGCGUGUGUGAUGCCGGUGGGGACGUUGUGAUCUA